rnacentral:rRNA from 1 species
CCUACGGGAGGCAGCAGUAGGGAAUCUUCCACAAUGGGCGAAAGCCUGAUGGAGCAACGCCGCGUGGGUGAAGAAGGUCUUCGGAUCGUAAAACCCUGUUGUUAGAGAAGAAAGUGCGUGAGAGUAACUGUUCACGUUUCGACGGUAUCUAACCAGAAAGCCACGGCUAACUACGUGCCAGCAGCCGCGGUAAUACGUAGGUGGCAAGCGUUAUCCGGAUUUAUUGGGCGUAAAGGGAACGCAGGCGGCCUUGUAAGUCUGAUGUGAAAGCUUUCGGCUUAACCGGAGUAGUGCAUUGGAAACUGGGAGACUUGAGUGCAGAAGAGGGGAGUGGAACUCCAUGUGUAGCGGUGAAAUGCGUAGAUAUAUGGAAGAACACCAGUGGCGAAAGCGGCUCUCUGGUCUGUAACUGACGCUGAGGUUCGAAAGCGUGGGUAGCAAACAGGAUUAGAUACCCCAGUAGUC